ACACGGGGGGCGCAAGCGUUAUUCGGAAUUAUUGGGCGUAAAGGGCGUGUAGGCGGUUUUAUCGGUCAGAUGUGAAAGCCCAGGGCUCAACCCUGGACGUGCAUUUGAAACAGUAAGACUCGAGUACGGUAGAGGAAAGCGGAAUUCCUGGUGUAGAGGUGAAAUUCGUAGAUAUCAGGAGGAACACCGAUGGCGAAGGCAGCUUUCUGGACCGAAACUGACGCUGAUGCGCGAAGGCGUGGGUAGCGAACAGGAUUAGAAACCCCGGUAGUCC
rnacentral:rRNA from 1 species